AUUGACGGCUGGCGGCAGGCCUAACACAUGCAAGUCGAACGGUAACAGGAAGAAGCUUGCUUCUUUGCUGACGAGCGGCGGACGGGUGAGUAAUGUCUGGGAAACUGCCUGAUGGAGGGGGAUAACUACUGGAAACGGUAGCUAAUACCGCAUAACGUCGCAAGACCAAAGAGGGGGACCUUCGGGCCUCUUGCCAUCGGAUGUGCCCAGAUGGGAUUAGCUUGUUGGUGGGGUAACGGCUCACCAAGGCGACGAUCCCUAGCUGGUCUGAGAGGAUGACCAGCCACACUGGAACUGAGACACGGUCCAGACUCCUACGGGAGGCAGCAGUGGGGAAUAUUGCACAAUGGGCGCAAGCCUGAUGCAGCCAUGCCGCGUGUAUGAAGAAGGCCUUCGGGUUGUAAAGUACUUUCAGCGGGGAGGAAGGGAGUAAAGUUAAUACCUUUGCUCAUUGACGUUACCCGCAGAAGAAGCACCGGCUAACUCCGUGCCAGCAGCCGCGGUAAUACGGAGGGUGCAAGCGUUAAUCGGAAUUACUGGGCGUAAAGCGCACGCAGGCGGUUUGUUAAGUCAGAUGUGAAAUCCCCGGGCUCAACCUGGGAACUGCAUCUGAUACUGGCAAGCUUGAGUCUCGUAGAGGGGGGUAGAAUUCCAGGUGUAGCGGUGAAAUGCGUAGAGAUCUGGAGGAAUACCGGUGGCGAAGGCGGCCCCCUGGACGAAGACUGACGCUCAGGUGCGAAAGCGUGGGGAGCAAACAGGAUUAGAUACCCUGGUAGUCCACGCCGUAAACGAUGUCGACUUGGAGGUUGUGCCCUUGAGGCGUGGCUUCCGGAGCUAACGCGUUAAGUCGACCGCCUGGGGAGUACGGCCGCAAGGUUAAAACUCAAAUGAAUUGACGGGGGCCCGCACAAGCGGUGGAGCAUGUGGUUUAAUUCGAUGCAACGCGAAGAACCUUACCUGGUCUUGACAUCCACGGAAGUUUUCAGAGAUGAGAAUGUGCCUUCGGGAACCGUGAGACAGGUGCUGCAUGGCUGUCGUCAGCUCGUGUUGUGAAAUGUUGGGUUAAGUCCCGCAACGAGCGCAACCCUUAUCCUUUGUUGCCAGCGGUCCGGCCGGGAACUCAAAGGAGACUGCCAGUGAUAAACUGGAGGAAGGUGGGGAUGACGUCAAGUCAUCAUGGCCCUUACGACCAGGGCUACACACGUGCUACAAUGGCGCAUACAAAGAGAAGCGACCUCGCGAGAGCAAGCGGACCUCAUAAAGUGCGUCGUAGUCCGGAUUGGAGUCUGCAACUCGACUCCAUGAAGUCGGAAUCGCUAGUAAUCGUGGAUCAGAAUGCCACGGUGAAUACGUUCCCGGGCCUUGUACACACCGCCCGUCACACCAUGGGAGUGGGUUGCAAAAGAAGUAGGUAGCUUAACCUUCGGGAGGGCGCUUACCACUUUGUGAUUCAUGACUGGGGUGAAGUC
rnacentral:rRNA from 1 species